UUUUUUCCUCUCUCAGUACUUUUACAGAUGUAUUGACCAGAUGUCCUGGAAGUGUCCCCUGAUGCAGACCCAGUUGUUGGGUAGCCACCCAUGCACGUUGACACAGCCCCCAGCAGUGGGCACCCAUGGGGAUGGACCCAGGAGUGGAGGAUGACCCAAUAGGUGGUGGGUAGCCACCCAUGCACGUUGACACAGCCAGCAGCGAGUACCCAGGGCGAUGGACCCAGAAGUGGAGGAUGAUAGGAUGGAAAUUCAGCCGACUCACUGUUCACACCAAUUGGGGAACAAGAAAGGCUAGGCAACCCCAUCUUUUGACAACAGCCUCCACCAUUCUAUUCUAAAAAUGUCAAUAAUAUACGUGUAUAUCUGCUAUAUAACAAUGUAUUUGUUUUAAAAGAUUAUGUGGGACAUGUUUUUUUUUUUUUAACAAAUGCAUAUUUAUCCUUUCUAUCUGUAAAUAAUCUUGAACAUAUACUGAGUGUAUGACAAUCAAACUGCAUUAAUUAAAUAACAAAAUUGCAUUAUUCCAAAAGCACUUAUGACUGUAUGGCUACUUUAUGACAGCAUUUAGAUAUUUGUGACUAUUAUAUUGUAAGUUACAUUUUAAUGGGAUUUUGUCCAAAGAAGUGCUUAUUAAUCUUUUAGUUGCUAAAUACUUUGCCUAAAACUACUGUCUACACGUUAAGACUGUUUUAACUAAUGACUGUGUGGGCUCCGCCCCACCUGCCUGUGCUUUGUUUCGCAACAGAGUGCUGGAGCGAUAGGGGGCCAAUCAUCUCUAAUUGAGACCCUUAUAAAGACUGGGCGGCUCCGACUCACUCUCUCUCUCUUGAAUCUGGCUUCUUCAGACCACAGCCCUGACGGCCACACUGAGAAUGCAGACGAUGGUGGUGGAAUUAAUAACCUGGAUCAGGAGUCCUCUGACAGCAGAUCUGAAUGGGCACCUGAUGGUGAAGACAUUACAUGUGAGGAAAAGACACAUACUAGAGGGAGUCGAGGACUUGGCUGGCCUACAAAAUGUCACUAAGGGAUGCAACUGACAGCUGAAGUAGGAUCUUUUUUGUUUUCUGGCCAUGACAAUGCUUUGACAGUUGAUAAUAAACUGAUAAUUAUGAUACUAUGUGCACACCACUGUUUUUAUGGGGUUUUUUUUUAAAUAAUAAAAUGGAUGUACUCAUCGAAACCACUUGGUGAUGUUGUUUUAUUGAUUGUUAACCACAUUAUACUUGUAAUAGAUAUGAAUGCAAAGUUGAUUAGAGCUUUGGCCUCAAUUGCUAUGUGGAAAAUAUUGCUCCAUGUCUCCAUUACAGAGAAAUCUGAUUAUUUUGCAGGAUUAAUUCAUGCAAAAAUGUCCAAUAAAAUUGUGGCGACAAUAUUACACAUGAUAUAAUGGAGAGAAUCCUUCCAAUUGAAAUGAGGAAAGUUCCUUGAUUUAUUUGUAAUUUGACAUAUUUUAUUCAUGCAAAAAUGUCCAAUAAAAUUGAGGCGACAAUAUUACACGUGAUAUAAUGGAGGGAAUCCUUCCAAUUGAAAUGAGGAAAGUUCCUUGAUUUAUUUGAAAUUUGUCAUAAUUUAUUCAUGCAAAAAUGUCCAAUAAAAUUGAGGCGACAAUAUUA